UCAUAGGGAAAAUAUGUGGUGUCAUUACAUAUAUUUAAUUUUAUGGAAUUUGAUAUUUUAGUACAAUUUUCGUAUUAUUAAUACGAAAUCUUGUUUAAUUAACAUGUGCAAUUGUUUAAUCUAAUUGAAGGAUAGAUGAUUCUAACCACUCAGAAACCUUCUAAUAUUUAACGGCAGUCGAUUUGAAUGGGAUAGAUGAUUCUAACCAAUCAGAAAGCUUCUAAUAUUUAAUGGUAAAAAAAAUUAAUUGCAUAACGUGAGUCUACUGUCAGGAAUCUUAGGAAAGAAUACAUUCUUUAAGGAUUGAACGUAAUUAUGAAGUAUCCCUUACAACGUUAAUUCCAAAGAGGUUACCGGAAUGAAGAGAUCGAGAGGAAUGAAGAACCGAUAACACUCGUUCCGUGCAGAAGGCCACAGCCACUCAAUUUUGGGGUUAAUACCUUUGCUAGCAUUCGUAUUGCAGCAUUUCAUCCCUUCUGCACGCCUAUGUAUUCCCACUCUCAUACCACUGAUUUACAGCUCUGGCAUCGAUAUAUAUUCCCCCUCCCUUUGAUUUCGCUCGACGUGCACGAACGAGAGCGAAUCACGUUUCACAAAUACGCGCGCCGCGACCCGUUUCGAUUUUAACUUGAUGCUCGCGCGCGCAGCGAAAGGGCUCUUAGGGGGUGGAUCGGCGUGGGGUAGCAAAUUAGAGAGCACACGCGGGACCAAGCCGACUCGAGAAAUGUUGUAAUGAACGAAACAAGUUUUAUUCGGUUUUCCUUGUUCUCCUGUUUACUUUGUUUCGUCCGCGAGCCGGUGUCAUCGACGUGCGCUACACUGCAAAACGUGUCCUCCGAAUCCACGAAUGACACAAUUUCAUUGGAUUCUUUUGAAAAUUAUUUGGAUUUUUUUUUUAUGUAACUAUCGUGAUGCGUGUGCACGUGCAAUGAAUUUAUAUACAUUGAAUGUAUAUAAAUUUUAAGAAAAAUUCAAUUUGUAUCUAAAAAUCUUACAUAUUUUUUUUAUAAUUGAUUAUAUAUUAUUAUAUAUUAUAAGGCAAAAAAUUUUUAUUGAGUCUUGUCAAUAAUUAAUAAUUAUCUCGAGUCAUUUAAAUAGUUAAAUUUAAACGUACGCUUCACAGAACUGAAAAAUACCUCGUGAAAACGUUGUUAAAUUUAAAAAUUAAUGGCAUUGCUUGCAAGUUGUUGUUCUUUGCAUAAGCAACAGGAUUACUUCGAUGAGAAUCUUGAAAUAUUUAUUUGAGUUGUUCGUAAUAGAGUUGCAUAUUUCUAGAAGCAAGGUUCUUGUAUGAUAUUACAUGCUUCUACAUAAAAAGAAAGCAGUAUGAUUUCAUAUAUUUUUUCCAAAUGGUUUUCAUACGUUUCUGCAUAAAGUCCGUGUAUGCAUUUGUUAAAUAUGCCAGUUUCCAAGCAUUCUAGAUUUAUACGUAUGUAUUUACAAUUUAAUUGCAUUUAAUAUCUCAUAUCAAUUUCAAAUUUUUAAAAAUUAUAUCUAUUUUCGAAUAUUUAUGUAUAUAAAAAAAUUUAAAAAUAUAUAAAAUAUUUUUAAUGAAAUAUGUAUUAUAAUAAUUAUCUGAAAUAACAAAACAGUACUUUAUUUAUUAAAUAUUUUUUUAUUUCUCAAGCUAAAGAUUGUAAAAUUUCCAAAUUCUAUGAUUGUCUUUCAUUUUAUAACUUCUCUCGUUUUAUUAAUUUCGAAUAGAUUAAUAAUCAAAUUCUUUUAAUAUUAAUAUCAAUUUUAAUCAUUGUAUUCACAAAAAUAAUUUUAUUCUUACCAAUCUUUAUUGAAAAGAAUAGAUUUCAAAAGUGAAAAAAUUCAUAUAAAUAUGAAAAAUCAUGUAAAUGGCUUGAAUAAAUUCGUGAACAGGUGGAUUUGACGAACUUAACGGAACACUAUGUAGACAAGAAUAGGUUGGCAAGCAAGGAGGAAGGAUACGUAGCCAUCUAAGCGAAAAAUUGUGCUUUCAGACAGUCAUAAAUGUGUCAGUUCGUCUCUCUGUCGGCUAUAUAAUGUCAGAUUAAUGUGUAUCUCGAAAGAAAGGAAGGAAGGCAUGCUUUGGUCCCCAGGUGCAUUUUCUAGAACGGUACAUUUUCGAGCCGAUCGUAAGACGGUGAUAAUAAUUCACUGGAAACGAUUCCCUUUCGCGCAGAUCCUAUCGAAAAUAUAUAUGCUAUUAUAUUUUUGACCAAAAAGGUUGUUUGUAAAGAAUAGCGUUGAAAGUUUAAAUCAAAUCCUGAAUGUUUAUUCUGUUUCGCGUGAAUUUAUAUGUGAUAUUAUUUCAGAAAAUAUAUAACAUUAUCAUUAUCCGUAAUUUAUAAUUAAAUAUAAUCAAUAUUUGUUGAAAGGGGUAUGUAAUAUCAUACAAGAACUUUGUUGUUAGCGAAUGAUAAAUGAUAAUGACGAUAACGUAUAUAGCGAAAUGGCAAACAAAAAUAUAGAAAAUAUUGUGAGAAAUAAAUAUAAUUUGAUGAAAUGUUUGAGUGAUUGAAAGUAGAAGUUCGCUAACGAACGAAGAAUUUAUUUAAUUUUACGAAUGUUGAUUCACUUCAAGCGAACAUAUAUUUUAUAAUAAAUAUAUCCUACAAAUGGCUGUUGUAUUCUUUAUGGAGCUUGUACAUAUACAUACAAUUCAAUGACAACGUGAAAUAUCUUAUUUUUUAUAAUAUAAUAUGAUAAUUUCAAAUUAUAAAUCUUAAAAAUUCAGAAGAUUCUUUCUGGAAAAAAGACAUA